rnacentral:rRNA from 1 species
UACGUAGGGUGCAAGCGUUAAUCGGAAUUACUGGGCGUAAAGCGUGCGCAGGCGGCUAUGCAAGACAGAUGUGAAAAUCCCCGGGCUCAACCUGGGAACUGCAUUGUGACUGCAUGGCUAGAGUACGGUAGAGGGGGAUGGAAUUCCGCGUGUAGCAGUGAAAUGCGUAGAUAUGCGGAGGAACACCGAUGGCGAAGGCAAUCCCCUGGACCUGUACUGACGCUCAUGCACGAAAGCGUGGGGAGCAAACAGG